UACGUAUGGUGCAAGCGUUAUCCGGAUUUACUGGGCGUAAAGGGAGCGCAGGCGGCGCGCCAAGUCUGAUGUGAAGUCCCGGGGCUCAACCCCGGGCAUGCAUUGGAAACUGGCGGGCUGGAGUGCCGGAGAGGUAAGCGGAAUUCCUAGUGUAGCGGUGAAAUGCGUAGAUAUUAGGAGGAACACCAGUGGCGAAGGCGGCUUACUGGACGGCAACUGACGCUGAGGCUCGAAAGCGUGGGGAGCAAACAGG
rnacentral:rRNA from 1 species